GAAGUGACGUCACGUCACCUGGUGCCGCGUGACGUCACGAGGAAACCUGAAGCUGCCGCUUCGUGCGUGAACUGAAAUCCGAGGCCACGCCCACGUUCAGCUGCUGUACUCCUCUUGUUUUCAAAAGCGACCUGCCCACAACAACAAUAACAACAAGAAUUUGUCUAAUGGAGCAAAGGCACUCGGCGCAGCU